GAUGAACGCUGGCGGCGUGCCUAAUACAUGCAAGUCGAGCGAACAGAUGAGGAGCUUGCUCCUCUGACGUUAGCGGCGGACGGGUGAGUAACACGUGGAUAACCUACCUAUAAGACUGGGAUAACUUCGGAAAACCGGAGCUAAUACCGGAUAAUAUAUUGAACCGCAUGGUUCAAUAGUGAAAGACGGUUUUGCUGUCACUUAUAGAUGGAUCCGCGCCGCAUUAGCUAGUUGGUAAGGUAACGGCUUACCAAGGCAACGAUGCGUAGCCGACCUGAGAGGGUGAUCAGCCACACUGGAACUGAGACACGGUCCAGACUCCUACGGGAGGCAGCAGUAGGGAAUCUUCCGCAAUGGGCGAAAGCCUGACGGAGCAACGCCGCGUGAGUGAUGAAGGUCUUCGGAUCGUAAAACUCUGUUAUUAGGGAAGAACAAAUGUGUAAGUAACUAUGCACGUCUUGACGGUACCUAAUCAGAAAGCCACGGCUAACUACGUG
rnacentral:rRNA from 1 species